AGAAUAACGGGGUCCAUGUGGACCCUGAACGGCUUCGGAAGAGCAGAUGACAGAUCCGAUGACACAGAUGCAAUUCUCCCGUUCUGUACGAACGUUUUUUCAAACACACCGAGAACAGAGGAUUUAAACGUCCGGUCAACUCCCCUGGGAACCUCCACCAGCUCGCUCCAUAUUCCUAACCCAAGCAAACAACGCACAACUCCGGCGCAAAUACAUUGCUCAGAAUCAACCCCUCCGGAAAAGUACGACAGGACAGGGAAUUUACGAGACGGCGCUCCAUGGACACGGCUCCAACGAGACAGGCCUGGCAGAAUCGGGAAUUCUUGGUGACAAAAGUCAAGCCCCCCCCCCGGAUUCGGUCAGAACAGAGACUCCUCCCCGGCGUAUAAUGGCACCGAAUACCUCACACAUCUUAAGCGCGAGGAGGAUCCCGGCUCACCGAACAUUCCCAAUGAAACAACCAAAACGGAGGAUUUAAACCUUAUAAAUGACAUUUCCGAGGCAGACGACCGGUUAUUAUGGGAUGCGGCCAACCUUCUUGAUUCUGCCAAUUCUGUGGUGACAACAGACGGAUCUGAAAUAGAACAAGCUAGGUUUUUCACAGCCUUUUCCAGGGCUCUAAAAUCCCGAAAGGUUUUGCUACACAGACGCCUGGGUGUUUUACUAGAGCGCCAAUACCGUCAGGAUAUAUCCUUCUGGCAUAGAGCAAUUCCACGUAUGUUAAACAGCAAUCCGAUUAAAAAACGCAAAUACAGGCGUUAAAAGCAUAUAUGUUACACGGAUCCUUCCAGAAUAACCCAAGAACACACAUCAUUAAUUAUCCAUAUGGCUGACCAAACAGACCUAGGCGAGACAGUUGAAAACCUCUUAUCCCAGAUACCGCCAGAAUUCCAAGCUAUAAUUAACCAUAUGAAAGAGGCGGGGGUAAACAGACAUAAUACCGAUAGAUGAAAGCAUAUUAUCACAGAUUCCAGCCGAACUCAUAGAAAUUAUUAAUCGUAUGAAUGAGUCAGCGCCGUCCGACGAAAACCUGUUAUCACAGAUUCCCGAAGCCCCCAUAUCGCUAAUUACCCAGAUGAAGAGAGCCUGAGAUCUAAUUCUGCAACACACACCCCUCAAAACCAGACAUUAACACCCAUGUCCGAAGAGUCUGAAACGCAAUACGAUGUUUUUGAGGAAUUGCAGAAAAUUGUCUAAUAAUUCAGGAUGGAAACGGUAUGGAUAGAAGUGUUCGUGUUGUGUACCGAAAUCAAUUCAACAAUACAGAGAUUCGACAGUUUUUCAAUUUCGCAUGGGUGAAUCAGAAUCUUGACUAUGCUGUGUUUUACAUAAUGAUAUUGGACACUCUGAAUGAACUGUUAGAAAGGGCUAGAGAUUAUGGCGAACCACGUGAUGUCUUACAGUUGGAAAUUUGUGGAGAUUGCCUGUAUAACACGGUAUCUCUUAUUUUGACCAAUGGCGAAGCAGAUCUUGAACAAUUUAUCGCCCUGCUAGAACGACUUGUUCAGUCAAAUGUAUCCGUCAUAGCCGAUAGGACCCUCGAGCUUGUAGUGCAAAUAAUAGGUCAACCCCAGGGUGGUGGUGGGCAGAGAAGGAAGCUAGAUAGCAUAAUGCAGUCAGAAAUCAUCAGCAAUAAAAGGGUCUACCUCAAACGUUCACAAUCCCGGUAAUAAGCUAUGCUUUGCAAUAGGUCUGUCCCAUUUACUCAACACGGGAUGUACUGAUCUAGCGGCGUUACAACGGUAUCCGGGAUGCUGUGGCUUUCUCUGACAUACUCAAAUUUGAAAACUUUCUAGAUUGUGAUAUCAAGAUUGUGGUUUUGUACCACAGUAGAGCUAAUGCAGCUCUCUUGAAAUUCCAAAACAACCCCCAACCUCACCCUCAGACUCUGUACUUUUAUGUGCAAAACGAACAUUACUAUGCCGUUACUAACAUCACAGCGUUUUUAGGCGCACCAUAUGUGUGUCCAUCCUGCCAUACCGUCUACACCCGAAUGGGGGGGGCACUUGUGCCAUUAUAACUGUUCAGUAUGUCUGGAUAAAAAUUGUCCUAUGCAACCCUUACACUUGACACCCUGUGAGGAUUGCCACCGCACAUGUCGUUCGACCUACUGUUACGAAAAACACAAAAUUGAAACAUGGCACCCCAAGGCCUGUAAAUCUGUAAGCAGUUGUGACAUUAACAAGAAAUGCCCAAAAUGCCAUUGUAAUUACAACCUUAAUAUAGAUAGCCCUAAACCGCAUGUGUGUGGAAUCAUACAUUGCUCAAUCUGUAAAGGGCCUUUGAAAAGCAGAGACACUGAAGUGGUUCAAGAAGUGCAACACAAGUGUUAUAAUCAGCCCGUGGCUGAAGUUGAACAUUCAGAGAAAUAAAGUGUCAUAUGAUUUUGAGAUAAAUCAGCAAUCAGGGGUUCAUUUGCCUAUUUUUGUAUCGACCAUGACUUUCAAGGGUGAAAAGUGGUCGGCCGAGGGACCCAAUUGUGCACUGUUCUUUCUAAAACACUUUAGAAAACCCCAAUACAGAAACUUCACGUUUAUAGCACACAAUGCUCGAGCCUAUGACCUUCUUCUGAACCCCUUGAUACAGCAAGGCGUUGCACCCAGUGUCAUAGCUCAAGGUAGUAAAAUCUUGUGUUUUGUAGACCCCGCCUUCAACCAGAGAUAGAUUGACAGUUUAAGCUUCUUACCCAUGAGAUUGGCUCAAAUGCCAAAGGCCUUGGGUUUUGAAAACUCUGUGAAAGGCUGGUUCCCCGCACUUCUUCACAUCUGAGGAGAAUCUACAUUAUAUUGGAUCUUAUCCCUGCCCCGAAAUGUACGGGUGUGAUCAAAUGUCUCCCAAAGAGCGUGAGAGAUUCAUGACAUGGUACGAGACAGUAAGACAUGGCCCCUUUGAUUUCCAUAAAGAGAUGGAAUCAUACUGUGACAAUGAUGUGGUUAUACUUGGUGAAGGAUGCCUCAGAUUCAGAGAAGAGGUAAUCAAAGAUGCAGGCAUUGACCCCUGGAGUUGUACAACUAUUGCAUCGGCGUGCAUGAAAACCUAUCGUAUGAGUACAACGGUUGUUUCUUCCACGGUUGUAAAUCUUGCUUUGUGCCCCCGGCCAUGUGUGUCCUAACCCAAAAGAUUUUUGUGGAAAUGUAUCAAGAGUUUCAAAAGAAAUUGGAUUCUUUCCAGGCUACUUUCAGGUUAAAAGUUGUGGUUUUGUGGGAGCACGAAUGGACAGCCCUCAAAAAGUCUGAUCCUCAUGUUCAAGCCUUCCUUUCCAGCUACGACACACUAGAACCCCUGGAACCACGACAGGCCUUAUUUAUGUUUAUGGAGAGUAUAUGCAUCCUGCUCUGAUAACCACUCAUUCACUUUAGAAUCACUUAACCGGCUACCUGUUUCUUCGGCUAUAGCUCUCUGUAAAUGUUCCUUACCCCCAUAAGACCCGGGGUUAGAGGGAUUAUAAUAAAUGUUUUUCAACAUCUGCUCCGCCAUCCUUCUUGCCUCUCUGAGGUACAAUAACGUUAAUGAGCCACUUUCAAAUAACGACAACAUUUCAUUUUCAUUAUAGAAUUUUUAUUUUAUUCAUGCAUCAAGUAUUACGUAUACAGACAAUUCAGGAUUCUUUGCAGGAUACAUGUCCCAGUUUUCUCAACGAUCACAGCAUGCAACACCCUGUAUAUUUGGUUUUGAUUUAGACUUGUGUCGCUGAACUUUUAAAACACACAUGUCCGAUAUAUAAGCAUAUAAACAACAAAUAUGAUACACGUUACAAUU